rnacentral:rRNA from 1 species
AUCUACGGUCAUACCACCCUGAACAAGCCUGAUCUUGGAAGCUAAGCAGGGUCGGGCCUGGUUAGUACUUGGAUGGGAGACCACCUAGGAAGACCAGGUGCUGUAGGUG